rnacentral:rRNA from 1 species
CAGUCGCCACGGUAAUACAGAGGGUGCGAGCGUUAAUCGGAUUUACUGGGCGUAAAGCGUGCGUAGGCGGCUUCUUAAGUCGGAUGUGAAAUCCCUGAGCUUAACUUAGGAAUUGCAUUCGAUACUGGGAAGCUAGAGUAUGGGAGAGGAUGGUAGAAUUCCAGGUGUAGCGGUGAAAUGCGUAGAGAUCUGGAGGAAUACCGAUGGCGAAGGCAGCCAUCUGGCCUAAUACUGACGCUGAGGUACGAAAGCAUGGUGAGCAAACAGGAUUAGAUACCCGCGUAGUCCCUGUCUCUUAUAC